rnacentral:rRNA from 1 species
UACAGAGGGGGCAAGCGUUGUUCGGAAUUACUGGGCGUAAAGGGCGCGUAGGCGGCCUUCUAAGUCGAACGUGAAAUCCCCGGGCUCAACCCGGGAACUGCGUCCGAUACUGGAAGGCUUGAAUCCGGGAGAGGGAUGUGGAAUUCCAGGUGUAGCGGUGAAAUGCGUAGAUAUCUGGAAGAACACCGGUGGCGAAGGCGACAUCCUGGACCGGUAUUGACGCUGAGGCGCGAAAGCCAGGGGAGCAAACGGG